AUGCAGAAGAUUGCUAUGUUGGGCUUCAUGAGAAAAAUAUAUGUAUCUGAAGAUUCUUUGGAUGGACUUGGCAUAGGGAAUUUGGAGGGAUGGAUAUAUUUAAAAAGGCUGUUCCCUCCACGUGGAGUCCCCCCUCCGACCCCCGUCCUCUGCCUCCUGGACACACCUGUCUCCAAAGCACAACAUCAGUGUUGCUUUCUCUGCAGAGUACUGCCAGGUCCUCAAUAUUAUCUCGCAGUGCAUUCUAGCUCUUGAUUACCAGCUGUGAAACUCUAGGUAAGUGAUUUGCUGCUCUGUAACUUGGUUUUCUAGUGUACAAAGUAAGUCUGACAAUAGUGCCUAAGUCAUGUGGUUGUUGUGAGUUGUAAAUGAGAAAACACAUGAAAAGGGCUUAGCACAAUGUCUGAUGCAUACUAACUGCUGAAAAAAUAGAUAUUAUUUCAUACUGGCUCUAUCAGUUGAACUAUCUCUCUCCAAAUCCAUGAGCACCAUGAGAACUUGGUGGUUAUUAUUGCCGACUAACAAACUGCCCCCAAAUUUAGUAGCUUAUAACCACAAUAAUUACUAAUUUUGCUCACAAAUCUGCCAUUUCGGAAGAAUUCAGCUGAGUUGUUUCAUCUCUGCUCCAUGCAGCAAUAACUGAAUCUAUUGCUCGGAUGUCCUUUUUGAUCUCUGGGCUCACUGUGACUGGUUAUAUUCUCCAAAAAUGGCUGUAACCUGCUUUUCUUGCAAUGUAACUUUGACACUGUUUCUGGUAAGAGAUGGGGUCUAUAUUUCUUCAUCUUGUAUGAUAGUGGGCUCAUAACUAUGGUGGGAGAGAUGCUGUGUGAUAUCUGAGGCUAGGACAUCAAUGGUGACACAGCUUACAAUGUCGUCCUUUUGAGGUGCUUGCUCUUAGAAUCCAGUCAGCAUGCCAUGCUGUGAGGAAGCCCAAGUAGCUCAUGGAUUGGCCCAUGUGUUGAGGAAAUAAGGCCCCUGGCCAACAUCGCUGGCUGAGCUCCCAGCUGGUAUGCAGCAUUACCACAGCACCUGUGUGAGUGAGCUGUCCUGAAAGUACAUCCUUUCCAAAGCUGCCUCAGCUUUUGCUUCCUGGAGAAGAGAUGAGAACUAAGUCAACUAAGUCCUUCCCAAAUUGCAGAUUUGUAAACAAAACAAACAAUUAUGGUUUUAAGCUACUAAAUUUUUGGGGUAGUAUGUUACUCAGCAAUAAUAAAAAGCACGUCCUCUUUAGAUCCCGACUUGGAAGAUUUCCAGUUUCUAUGGUCUGCAUGUGUCUGCACCAGUGCCUCCCGCCACCCCAUUUCAGAUGUUAAAUCAUCACCCUCAAGUGAUGGUAUUUGGAGUUGGGGCCUUUAGGAGGCAGUUAGGUCAUGAGGUGGAACCUUCAUGAUAAGAUUGGUGUUUUUACUUAGAAGAGACACCAGAGAGCUCCCUCUCCUUUCACCAUGUGAGCACAGUGAGAAGGCAGCUGUCUGCAACCCAAGGAGAGAGACUUCACCAAAACCCACCCAUAAUGAUGUCUUGAUCUUGGACUUUCUAGCCUUCAAAACUGUGAGAAAUAGACGUCCAAAGUUUAUAAGCCAUUCAGUCUAUGGUAUUUUGUUAUAGCAGCCCAGAUGGACUAAGACACAAACCAUAGUGCAUUAAGUGAACGUACCAAGGAAUUCAAAUGCCAAAGUCAAUGUCAGGAGGGGUCAGAAAGGGGCACAUAACAAGAAGGAAGUUGGAGUAGAGGUGAGCUGGAAGGGCUGGGGGUGUCUGAUGGGCUCACAGGAGGGAGGAGGGCAUUCUGGUAGUGAGGAGAGAAGGAGUCUGGGGGCAGCAGGGGUGGCAGAGGUAGAUGAGGCUGGGUGUCUGGGAGGAAGCUGAGCAUGCAGGAGGCAUCCUUCAGCAUCAGGAUAAAGACUGAAUUAGACUCAUUUUAGAUUCCAGAAUCCAUUCUAGAUUCCAGAAUCCAUUCUAGAUUCCAGAAUCCAUUCUAGAUUCCAGAACAAGAGAGUGACUUGAUAUGCAUGUGUUCUGAAAUGAUUUGUGGAGGCACAUUCUCAGGGUGGAUUGGUGUGGGCAAGAGGCAGGGGAGGGUGAUGGGAGGUUCAACAGAAUUCAUGAAAUGGGAUUGUCUUUGGUCAGGAGACCUCUCCCCUGUAAGGUUGCUCCCAUCAGUGCUCCACGGGCACUGCCCAGGACUCCCUGAUGUCCCUUGUUUUACCCGGUAGGCUGCCUAUGUAUCUUCUAGUGGCACUGCCUCUUUGUUAGUGAAAUGAUGUGUAGACCCUGAUGACAGCUUAGGUUUGAAUCUUUGCUCCAGCUCUUACUUGCCUGUGUAUUCUUGGGGAAGUUAACUAACUUCUUUACCUCAGUUUCCUCAUUUGUGAAAUGGGAAUAAUAAUGAUACAGGAUUUUGUGAGAUAAUUAGUUCACCAUACAAGGAGGAAAUAAUCAGUGAUGUUCACUUUUUUUUUUUUUGAGAUGGAGUCUCGUUCUGUUGCCAGGCUGGAGUGCAGUAGUGUAAUCAUGGCUUACUGCAACCUCUGCCUCUUGGAUUCAAGUGAUUCUGCUGCCUCAGCCUCUUGAGUAGUUGCACCACCAGGUCCAGAUAAUUUUUGUAGAGAUGAGGUUUCACCUUGUUGGCCAGGAUGGUCUUGAUCUCUUGACCUCGUGAUCCUCCCACGUCAUCCUCCCAAAGUGCUGGGAUCACAGGCGUGAGCCACCGUGCCUGGCCAUGUUCACAUUAUUUUAUGGCAUGCCUUCUGCAGGUUUCCAUAGCUGUACUUUGGCAAUAGGUAUGUACUCAUCUUUUGUUUAGUACACUGGGGACUUCACAAAUACCCACCCAUCACCAGCUUACAGUGUAUCCCUUAGAUGGGUUGCUUAUCCAGGAUACAUGAAUUUAAUCAAAUUCUAGGGUAUCUCACUAUUUCCACAUUAUGUUGUUCUUCACUUCCAAAUAGUUGGCAAAGUUCAUGCACUCUGCAUUUACAAAAUUGAACAAAAUCAUUUUCUUUUAGGAGAAUUCAAGCCAAUCAGAUAAUUGCAAAACAUCCUAAGUGGCUUUUGACUAUGGAGAGAAGUAGGGCCAGAAAGAUGACAUCCCCCAGAAUUGGAGCUCAGUUGGGGCUCACAUGAGUCCUACCGAAGAUAGCUAAAAUCUGGAGCCUGUUUUAGGCUUUUGAAACAGAUCAUAUCAGAAAGAAUUCCUCUCUCUCCUCUCUCUUUCUCUGUUGCUCUCAAUUCCUAUAUUCUUCUACCCACCUCCCACCAUCCAUCCAUUCACCCAUCCAUCCAUCCACUAUUCAUCUAUCCAUCCAUCCACUCACCAUCCAUCCAUCCUUCUUGCAUGUGGCCAGAUCAUUUUCAUCUAAAAAACAAACUAGAAUUGAUAUAUUUGUUAAUUUGGUUACUCAGUUGAAUUGACCAAACCGAUGACCUGUUUUAGUUAUAUAGACCCAACUAAAAUAUUAACAUUGUUCUGAUUUAAAAAAAAUCAGCAAUCUUCAUUUGUAUUUAUUUAUUUAUUUUUGAGAUAGGGUCUCGGUCGGUCACCCUGGCUGGAGUGCAGUGGCAUGAUCUUGGCUCACUGCAACCUCCACCUCCGAAGUUCACUCCUGCCUCAGUCUCCCGAGUAGCUGGGAUUACAGGUACAUGGUACCUGCCCCCAUGCCUGUUUAAUUUUUUGUAUUUUAAGUAGAGACAGGGUUUCACCAUGCUGGCCAGGCUAGUUUUGAACUACUGACCUCAGGUGAUCCAUGUGCCUUGGCCUCCCAAAGUGUGAGAUUACAGGCAUGAGCCACCAUGCCCAGCCUGUAUUCAGCUGUGUUUUUGAUAUGUGAUUCAUUCUUAAUAUUUAUUAGUAUGAAUAGGUACUUGUUAUAAAUGAAGGUGGAGUUUAUAAAUAUAUUUGAAGCUCCAGUGGGUUAUGAUAACUCCCCUAUAGUCUUGUGUUCCUGUAGGCAUUCCCGAUGGAUGCUUUUUCUCAAGGCCAGAAGGACAAAAAGCUUUCUUGAUGUUGAUUGGAGCCAUAAAAUGAAACACAUGGGAAAAGCACAUUGCUUCUAUUACGAUCUUUCCUAUAUUAGAUAUAGAAUCCUCUUAUUUCAUAAGGCCUUCAAGCACUGAUUUUUAAAAAAAAAAUCUUUUCUCUUUCAUUUAUAGUUGGUGCCUCAGGCAUCAGUAUAUGGUGGGUGCUUAAUAAAUAAUAAUAACAGUUAUUAUUAUGGAGCAGAAAUCUGCUGAUCCUUUCACAUGAAUGGAACCUUGAGACCUCUUUUCUAUUAUGUAGUAGGGUGUAUUUGUUUUAACACAUUAUUGUAGCUUUUUAUUUCAGUACAUCAGCAUUCCAUUUAUUCACAUGCUUUGGAAUUUAUGGUUAUUACUGUGUCUGUUUUUCUGUCUCC
rnacentral:lncRNA from 1 species